rnacentral:lncRNA from 1 species
UGGAUGUAAUCAAUUCAUAUCACAUAUAUGUUCAUGGUUGAAUUUUCCUCUAGCUAAAACGAAUUUAGUUGCACAUGUUUGCAAUUAAACAAAGACAAUUAAAAUUAAACAUUGAAAACAAAAGAUAGAAUACACCUAGAAACACUCUAGCAAUCCAAAGGUCUUGAAUGGUAGACACGGCUCCAAGCUUCUUCUUCUCUUUCCUUCCUUGCAAAGUUGCGGCACAAUUGUGUAUUUUUCUGAUUUUAGGCUCUGUUGUGUGUGGUGCUUUGAAUGGUGCGAAUUUGGUGUAUAUAUAUAGCUAGGCCACGACACAAAGGUUGUAGAGGAGAAGGAUUUGCAUGGAAAAUUUCUAGGGGGAAAAGAAUUAAUGUGUUAGAUGGAUUGGGACUCCUAAAUUCAGAUGGGAAGGAUUUAGAAUAGGAUAAUGACUCCUUUUGCAGCUGGAGAUAAGUUUAGAUAAUGUUGGAUUAAAUAGGAUAAUGUUUGGAUAAUAUAGGAUAAGAUAAGAUAAGACUGGAUAAGAUAAGGUUGGUUAAGGAUAAGGUUGGAUAUGAUAAGGUUGGUUUGGAUAAUGUUCAUUCUUUUUAGCUGAUUCCUUAUCUUAUAUGUCUUGAAUUAAUUCCUUCAACCCUUUAGCACAUUCCUAGCCUCUUUUGAUCUUCAAAAACAUCCAUCCAUUAUGCUCCAUACACAUGUUAUCCAUUCCAAGUCCAAAAAUGCUCUAAAAUGCUCAAAAUUGCACUUUCUUGCCAACUUUGUCAUUUGAACUUGAAAACACACGAAAAUAGCUUAAAACACUUUAAUAAGCAGAAUAUUAGCUAUGUAAAUGCAAGAAAACAAGGUAACUAAGUCGCAUAAAUAUGCUCCUAUCAUAAUGUGCACACCAGGCUCUCCUGGAACUGGUUUCACAAUGAAUAGAUUCAACUACACAAAAGAUUCUUUCCAACUACCCUCAUUUCCAUGCUUCCAAUCUGAAUACUGAAAUUUCAAUGACUUCAACAUGAAUGAUGCACAAAUAAUGUCAUCUUAUCUUUCACAUGUAUCACAGUAUAUUCUCAACGAAUAGCAUUCCAGCAAUAAUUUCAUAACCAAGAACAAGUAGACACUUAACUGAAGCAAUUAGCCAAUUAUUAUCCAAUCACAUUAAUCAACCAAAAAGAUCAAGAAUAUUAACUUCACGAAAUUUAAUAAAAUCAAUUUCCGUAAUGGUUUGCCUUAUUCCCCUACCUGGAUUCCAAAGCUAAAACAAAGAUCCAUGUCACUAUUGGAAUAGCUAAGCUCCACAUACUUAUCCAUGUCACUAUCGAAAUAGAUAAGCUCCACAUACUUAUCCAUGUCACUAUCGAAAUAGCUAAGCUCGACAUACUUAUACGUACUUAUCCACGUCACAACUAAAAUAGUUAAGUUCCACGUACUUAUUCACAUCACUACCGAAAUAGCUAAGCUCCACACAAUUGAGAAAGCUCCUUGAUCACUCCUAACGCCAUGUAUUUCUUCCACUCUAUUUUCUUUUCUAAUCUCUCUUUCUAACAUAUACAUACAUACAUACAUACAUACAUACAUACAUACAUACAUACAUACAUACAUACAUAUAUAAUUAUGUAUGCAAGACUACUAUAUGCAGGCAACCUGACUAAAGACGG